GAGACCCACGCCCACAGUUGCCAGCGUACUCUCCGGAGCGACGGGUACACUGUGGGGACCGCCGCUGCUAAAGCGGAGGAAGGAAUGGGCAACGGUGGGUCAGUAUGCCCCGAAUGUCCCGGGCUACACGCGGGCUACAAUGGCUGGUACAAUGGGUAUCUACCCCGAAAGGGGAUGGAAAUCUCCUAAAGCCAGUCUUAGUUCGGAUUGAGGGCUGCAACUCGCCCUCAUGAAGCUGGAAUCCGUAGUAAUCGCGUUUCAAAAGAACGCGGUGAAUAC
rnacentral:rRNA from 1 species